rnacentral:rRNA from 1 species
GACGAACGCUGGCGGCGUGCUUAACACAUGCAAGUCGAGCGAGAAACCUUCGGGUUUCUAGCGGCGGACGGGUGAGUAACACGUGGGUAACCUGCCUCAAAGAGGGGGAUAGCCUUCCGAAAGGAAGAUUAAUACCGCAUAAUAUUACAGUUUCGCAUGAAGCAGUAAUUAAAGGAGUAAUCCGCUUUGAGAUGGACCCGCGGCGCAUUAGCUAGUUGGAGAGGUAACGGCUCACCAAGGCAACGAUGCGUAGCCGACCUGAGAGGGUGAUCGGCCACAUUGGAACUGAGACACGGUCCAGACUCCUACGGGAGGCAGCAGUGGGGAAUAUUGCACAAUGGGCGGAAGCUUGAUGCAGCAACGCCGCGUGAGUGAUGAAGGUCUUCGGAUUGUAAAGCUCUGUCUUUUGGGACGAUAAUGACGGUACCAAAGGAGGAAGCCACGGCUAACUACGUGCCAGCCGCCGCCGUAA